rnacentral:rRNA from 1 species
CCUACGGGGGGCAGCAGUGGGGAAUAUUGCACAAUGGGCGAAAGCCUGAUGCAGCAACGCCGCGUGAGCGAUGAAGGCCUUCGGGUCGUAAAGCUCUGUCCGCAAGGAAGAUAAUGACGGUACUUGAGUAGGAAGCCCCGGCUAACUACGUGCCAGCAGCCGCGGUAAUACGUAGGGGGCGAGCGUUAUCCGGAUUUACUGGGGGAAAAGGGUGCGUAGGUGGGUUCUUAAGUCAGAGGUAAAAGGCUGGGGCUCAACCGUAGGACGCCGUUGAAAAUGGGGAACUUGAGUGCUGGAGAGGCAAGUGGAAUUCCUAGUGUAGCGGUGAAAUGCGUAGAUAUUAGGAGGAACACCAGUUGCGAAGGCGGCUUUCUGGACUGUGACUGACGCUGAGGCACGAAAGCGUGGGGAGCAAACAGGAUUAGAUACCCGAGUAGUC